AUUGAACGCUGGCGGCAGGCUUAACACAUGCAAGUCGAGCGAGCGGCGGACGGGUGAGUAAUGUCUGGGAAACUGCCUGAUGGAGGGGGAUAACUACUGGAAACGGUAGCUAAUACCGCAUACCAUCAGAUGUGCCCAGAUUGGAUUAGGUAGUAGGUGGGGUAAUGGCUCACCUAGGCGACGAUGCCUAGCUGGUCUGAGAGGAUGAACAGCAACACUGGGACUGAGACACGGGCCAGACUCCUACGGGAGGCAGCAGUGGGGAAUAUUGCACAAUGGGCGAAAGCCUGAUGCAGCCACGCCGCGUGUGUGAAGAAGGCCUUCGGGUUGUAAAGCACUUUCAGCGGGGAAGCGUUACUCGCAGAAGAAGCACCGGCUAACUCCGUGCCAGCAGCCGCGGUAAUUC
rnacentral:rRNA from 1 species